GGGCCUAUAGUUUCAACGGUAAAACAUCGGUCUCCAAAACCGAGGUUCCAGGUUCGAGUCCUGGUGGGCCCG
rnacentral:tRNA from 1 species